CAGCAGCAGCCGCGGUAAUACGGAGGGUGCAAGCGUUAAUCGGAAUUACUGGGCGUAAAGCGCACGCAGGCGGUCUGACAAGUCAGAUGUGAAAUCCCCGGGCUUAACCUGGGAACUGCAUUUGAAACUGUCAGGCUGGAGUCUUGUAGAGGGGGGUAGAAUUCCAGGUGUAGCGGUGAAAUGCGUAGAGAUCUGGAGGAAUACCGGUGGCGAAGGCGGCCCCCUGGACAAAGACUGACGCUCAGGUGCGAAAGCGUGGGGAGCAAACAGGAUUAGAUACCCCGGUAGUCCCUGUCUCUUAUAC
rnacentral:rRNA from 1 species